rnacentral:lncRNA from 1 species
UUUUAGCGGGAAUUUUAAAAUUUUAUAGCAGUUUGGUUUUAAAUUUGACAGUUCUGUUUUGUCAAGUCAAAAAUCUUAACCUUACUUUUACAAGUGAUUAGGAUUAUUAUUUUAUUUACAUAUAAAUUGAAACAAUAAAUAUUGUGCUGUGUCAUAAUUUAAAACUCAUUAUGUUGCAGUCUUUUCCAGUUGAUAAAAUUGCAAUUCAAAAACUUUUAGAUUUGCACUAGAUUGGCACAGAAAGAGAACAGUACAAGAACAUGAAACAUCUUAUUAUGAAUGUAUAUGUAAGUGAUCCUCAAAAAAUUAUUUUACAAAACAAGAUAGAGAAAGAGCUUUAAAAUCCCAAGGAUCCUGCAAAAUGUUUAUUUGGUGUACUAGUCGAAUAAUAGUAUCUAAAAAUAUUGAAACUAUUUUAAAACAUAUUACGGACACGAGGAUGAUAUAGAGCACUUACAUAAAUACCAAAAUCAGAUAAAUAUCUCUUCAAAGUUUAUUUUGAGAUUUUCUUCAAAAAUGUAAGUAAAAUAUUUGCAUAUCGACGGCGGAAAGGUAGGACUUCGUAACUGAAAAAAUUUUAUAACAUGAGUUAAUUCAGUUUUCGCUUUAGAAUAAGUGUAUCGGCAGCUAUUAAACAGCGAUUACAGCUGGGAAAGUUUCCGGAAGGCUUCUAGAAGGCUUUCCCAGCUCUAAAAGCUGUUUAAUAGGUGCUGAUGCACUUAUUAUAAAUCGAAAACCGAAGUAACUCAUUUUAUACAAAUUUUUCAGUUAUGAGGUCCUGCCUUUCCGCCGUCGAUAUACACAAUAUAAUUUAAAACAAGAAUGUUACCACUAAACCACUUUUUUAAAUAUUACUCAUGAAUAUUUACUACAUUUUACAAUUUCAAACUAGUGUGUUUGAUUCUCCUAUACCUAUAUUUUACUUUUUUAGUAAACUUCAGACUGUUCAGGAUAGCAUAAUAGCAUAGGAGGCGAAUUAAAAAUAAUUAAUUUACUUACAAGUAAAGAUAUCACAAACAUUAAACUAUCUUAUGGCAUUAAUUUGAAAGAUGGGUAUAUGUACAAUGAUGAUGCAACCAGUGUUUAUUUUUGGGUUGAAUGCUUACAGACUCAUGUCCAAUAUUAUUUUACAAACAACAGGGCAUACUAAUGGAUAUUCAUUCUGAAUUUAAUAUUUAUGAUUUUUGUCUUAUUUUCCUUAAUACUGUGCAAAAAUGAAAUGUUAAUUAAGUGUGGUAAAUCCUUUAUCGCAAUCGAUGGAACUCAUAGGCUCAAUUCCUAUGACUUUGAACUUAUGACAGUAUUAGUAAAAGAUGAAUUUGGGAAUGGAUUUUGUACUGCUUUCUUAUUUUCAAAUAGAAAAAAUACCUACUUUAAUUUACCGAUUUUUUAAAUACAUGUCUGUGUUGGUAUUAUAUGUAUAGUCAAAUGUUUUCAUAUCAGGCAUAAGCGACACCUUUUACAAUGCCUCGUCAAAUGUAAUGGGUAUUGCUCCUAAUAGACUGUUAAGUGCCUGGCACAUAGAUAGGGCAUGGUAAGUAAAUCUUAAUAAAAUAUCUGAUUCUGAAAAAAAUCCUAUUAUGUAUACAAGAUGUAUUAAUGAUGGUUUAGAGAGUAUUAAUAGCUUUUUGGGUAGACUUCUAAGUGAUGCAGAUACAUACAAUUUUAGUAAGUAUUUCCAGUAGAACUAGUGCAAUAACAUCCAACAAUGGGCCUAUUGUUAUAGGAAGGGGUUGUGGAAUUAAUACCAAUAUGACCAUUCAAAAUUGUCAUAAAAUUUUGGAUAAAAGGGUAUCCAUUAGUUGUUAUCAGUUAAGUUUGAAACUUCGCACUUAUGGAGAGCUAUACCAUAAUAUAUAAUAUGUAUAUCUCAUAAUAUUACAUCUCAUAUUGCUCACUCAUUACAAUAGUGAGCAAUAUGAGAUAUAACAUAUUAUAGUAUAAGUCUCUGUGCAUGACCAGAUUAACAUGUUUGGUGCCCAUCUCGAACAAGCUCCACUUGGCUGGUACCACAUACUUAAAUCAUUUAUUUAGUUACACAGUACUACUCACAUAACUUAUGUGUCGUCAGUACCUUCCGUAAAACCUUCGUGAUGCUACCCAUAUGUCAUGGCCACUGAAUGUGUUAAAGCUUGUUAAUGUAGGAGAGUUAUACUAAAAUAUAUAUCUUAUAUUAUAUUGCCUUAAAUAGAAAAAAUAUCUUAUUUAAAUUGUAUCCAUGUAAGUUUUGAUUUAAUGAAAUAAACCUUUUAAUCAAAAAAGUGUUGUUUACUUGUGUACACCCAGCAAUAUCCUGAUCAUAGAUAAAUAAUAUAGUAUUACCGGAUCCUGAUAUGCAGACGCCAAUAGGGCUUUUCAUCGAUUGUCAUUUGUUUCGAGCUUCUGUCAUGAGUCACAUAAUAUUAAUGUAUCUACGUCAUACGUCUUUGGUUUGUAUCAUUGGUAUAUAGCAUAUACCAAUAACGUAUGACGUAAAUAUAUUAAUAUUAUGAGACACAUGACAGAAGCUCGAAACAAAUGACUGUGAAUGAAAUGCCCUAUUGAAUAGGGCUUUUCAUCCAUUGUCAUUUGUUUCGAGCUUCGUUCAAGUGUCACAUAAUAUUAAUAUAUCUACGUCAUACGUCUUUGGUUUGUAUCAUUGGCAAUAUCAAUAACAUAUGACAUAGAUAUAUUAAUAUUAGACGACACAUGACAGAAGCUCGAAAUAAAUGACUAAGUGAAAAGCCCUAUAUCAUGUAAAUACAAGUCAUAAAGAUGUCCUUCUACGGUUAAAAUUUCACAGCCUAAAGACAUCAUUUAUGUAACUUCUUAAGCCGUCACAAAAUGACUGCAAUAAGAAAAUAGAAUUUAUUAACUCGCCUCGCCCCCAGGCAAAGUAAAGGUGCUAGGCCACUAAGAAUGUUUUUUUCAAUUUUUUUAUUUUGUGGCUUUAGCGCUUAGCUAUUUAGCCAGAUACAUGAUGAGAAUUAAUACUAUUAUAAUGCAUAUUAAAACUAAUUCAAAUUACUAGUAAUUUUAUUAAUAUUCUGAAUAAUUAUGUAACCACUUAAUACUACAAUAAAAAAGUGUCCAUCUAUACUAUCCCAACACAUUUUAACCUUUGAAAUCGUAAAUUUCCAUUCCCAUUAAAAAAAUAAUUUGUACUGUAUAAGUAUAUUUCUUUUGAGCUUCAUUUUUUUUUCAAAAUACUGCAACAUGAGUUUUAAAUUAUGACACAGUACAAUACUUGUUUCAAUAUUUACAUGUAAAUAAAAUAAUCCUAAUUACUUGUAAAAGUAAGGUUAUAAAUUUAAGAAUACAGAACUCUCUUAAAACCAAAGUGGCAUUAGACUAAUUUUAAAAUUCCCGCUAAAAGGAAAAAGGUAAAUCUGGCAACAGUGCCGUCGUUUGCUGGACAUUUAAUCAAGAUUUAAUCUCUCCCCAACCCAUUCCGCUGUGUUGCCAAAUUUUUAAUCAGUAUCGAAACGCGGCAGAUUUAAAAACAUGUCAAAAUAUGUUGUUUUACUUUACACGUUCUAAAAGUGAAUCAAAUCUAUUUUUUCUAAUUUAAUAAUUGCUUGUAUAAAAAAUACCUAGAUGGUACGUAAAAAAUAUAUAUUUCGUUUGUUAUCCGGUAGAUAAGCUUUAAAAGUAAGUUUGGAUUAUGAACACACCUGAUUUUUGUGUUUAUUUUUAUAAUUUCAGCUUUGCUUUAACCUAACCUAACAUAAUCAGAUUCAAAGAUGAUUUUAUCGUUUUUAUUUCCAUUUUGGAAGAAGGAAUGAAGGAAAUUUACAGAUAUGACAAACAUCUAGCUAGAAGAUGGAAUCUUGCGUUCUUAAAAGAAAAAAAGCUAGUUCCAGAAGUAAGCUACCAAUAAUAAACUAGAGAAUGUAUUACAAGAAAGAACAACGCUAAUACUCAACAUAGCUCAAUUGCUUCAGAUAGAAAAAGAGGAGGAAAGGGUACAACACAAGCCUGCCAGAGAAAAUGGAAGGGCAGAAAAAAGACACAAAAUUCAUUGAUUUAUUAAAUUUAAAAAUUAAAUUAUACAAAGGACAAUUAAAUAAAAAAUUAAAAAUGA